GCGCCUGUAGCUCAGCUGGAUAGAGUAUCUGACUACGAAUCAGGGGGUCGGGCGUUCGAAUCGCUCCAGGCGCGCCA
rnacentral:tRNA from 1 species